GGGAGUCGGAAUGGAAUAUCGUAUGUAGUGUUGAAUCCAAUCGGAAGCUCUUUCGAACAAGCGAGGAACGAGUGACCACAAGCUCCGCUUAAGCGCUCGACAUGCAGUUAGCUUAAAACAUGUUCAUCAUGUGGUCGAGCGAAGCGCACCUCUGUGAAGCAGCCUAGCAUCACUUUAGAUAGGAGCAGAAUGGAUGACUUAAACUGAAAGUAAGUUCUCCGGAUCGAUAUAUCGUACGACGUAAUGGAGAUCUUGAUCUAGAUCCGGUGCUUCGCAGAAUUCGGGACCUAACGAUGUUCGGUUCGUCACAUGAACUGAACGGUAAUAGUCUAUUACCCCUCUCACUUCGUUCGAGCUGAAUUACAUCCACCCUCUCACGGUUAAAAAAGUGGUUAACUAUCUCGAAAAAAUCCAUAUCGUCCAUCCGAAAAACGUGUCUCAAUUACAGCCAACUCCCCCUCCCCUGUCUCUUUCCCUAUCGAAAAACCAGCCCUACUUAUUUUGUUCUACAAAUGCUAACCAAGUGACACACUGGGGCCAUGGGUCAUGAAAGAGGUUGACCCCCAUCCUCCUUAACUAUGUAUGGCUAAUGAACUCCUCGCUUUAGUCCGUUCUUUUCCUUCUUUGGGCUCGGGUCG
rnacentral:lncRNA from 1 species